AUUGAACGCUGGCGGUAUGCUUAACACAUGCAAGUCGAACGGUAGCAGGUCUAGCUUGCUAGAUGCUGACGAGUGGCGGACGGGUGAGUAACGCGUAGGAAUCUGCCUUAUUGUGGGGGAUAACCUGGGGAAACUCAGGCUAAUACCGCAUGAGCCCUAAGGGGGAAAGGAUGGGACCGCAAGGCCAUUCGCGAUAAGAUGAGCCUGCGUCGGAUUAGCUUGUUGGUGGGGUAAAGGCCUACCAAGGCGAGGAUCCGUAGCUGGUCUGAGAGGACGACCAGCCACACUGGGACUGAGACACGGCCCAGACUCCCACGGGAGGCAGCAGUGGGGAAUAUUGGACAAUGGGGGCAACCCUGAUCCAGCAAUACCGCGUGUGUGAAGAAGGCCUGCGGGUUGUAAAGCACUUUCAGUGGGGAGGAAGAGCUUAUUGUUAAUAGCAAUGAGUUGAGACGUUACCCACAGAAGAAGCACCGGCUAACUCUGUGCCAG
rnacentral:rRNA from 1 species